rfam:Hirschia baltica ATCC 49814, complete genome.
GCGGGUGUAGCUCAGGGGUAGAGCGCAACCUUGCCAAGGUUGAAGUCGAGAGUUCGAAUCUCUUCACCCGCU